UGCAAAUGCAAUUCCAAACUGCACAUCCAAGACCAUUUCCACAAUAUCCUGAACAGCCCUAAUGUUUUUAAGCUGCCUGAUUGAAGUGAUUGGAAAUGCAACAAAAUAGUAACUUCAAAAAAUAGUAACUACAA